UCAAGCCCUCCCCCCAUGCAGUUAAUAUCACUUCAGAAUUUUUUUAGCACCUACAUAUUCUAAUUUUCUAUGGGCUUAUUUCAUAUCCACACUCUGGGUGGCCUGGAGGUGAGGAAUGUAUCUAUCAAUUGUUUCACCUCAUGCCAUGCUGAGCAAAGUGCCCAAUCCCUUCUAGAAGACCAGCCACCUCCACUAGUCACUUUGGGUGAAGUGACUUUAAAAAAACCUCUGAGAGCUGUGGAAUUCUGAAUUAUGUGGAAUCAUUUAAACACCCCAAUGUGUACUUUACAAGAAGGGACAAAACAUAUUUUAUAAAAAUGACUCAUAUUAUGUAUCUUAAAGAAGUUUUGCAUAUUACGUAUCUUAAAGAAUUUUUGGUUUUGUGCUUAUGUGAUGGUCACACAUUUGUGUGAUUUGAAAGCUUUAGAAGGAAUCAGGAUGUGUCUACACCUACAAGAUGAGCAGAGUGAGCUACUGAAAUAAUGCGAAGAACUUACUUUUUAUGUGUUACGAACAACCUGAAAACUCUGAGCCAGUUUGCAGAAAGGCACGUAAAGAGGUGUCUUUACAAAUUCACCUUGUAAAAAAAAAAAGUGUCACCAUCAUGAAAAGUCUACAAAGCAUGGGUAGACAUAAAGUAAAAAAUGUUGACAGUUAGUUAGUCAAAACGAAUUCUUCACAUGUAAAAAGCAGAGAGAGAUGUCUCUUUCGUUUCCAUCAGGAAAAUCAAAAGAGACAGUUAUUAUUCACUGUCAUAGCCUACAUAAAAAUGCAGCAUGUGUCAUUUAGAGGUCCCCAUUGUGUGAUCCUAUUUGGGAAUGAAUAGUAUGUCCUAGAAAAGUAGCCCCUACCGGAGGCAGUGGAGAGGGGUGGUUAGGAAGAGCUCACGCUUGAGUUCACGCACAUUUACUUUGGAAACUUGCCCCUAAAACUGACCAGACAAUUCACUUUGGCAUUGACUUACACUUCAAUAUUAUCAGUUCCCUUUUCCAUAAAUGGGAUCUAUGAUGUUGAACACACGGUGACUGGAAGAAUAAAAGGCAUGGAGCGAGGUUGGCAUAGUAUCUGAUGCUGAGAAGCAUCACAUAAAUAACAUGAACAUGAUGUAUUUUCCAUACAGGACGAAUCCAGAAACACAGGGUGUCAAAGUGUCAACUUUUUAACAUGGAAGUCAACUUCUUGAGUAUUAAGAUCAGAGUUACGUAUAGGGGUUUUUUAUUUAAAGAUAGUUAGCUUCCAAAACUCCACAUAACUGUGCACAAUAAUUACCAAUACAAGUCUGACAGUUUUUCAUUUUCCCUAUUAUUUUUAUUUUUUUUUUUAUUUUUGAUAAGGAAGAGCUAAGGAAAGUGAGGUGCCACAUGAUAACAGAACAGCAGCACGUUCUUGUCUCAUGAAUGGGACCAUUGAACAGCUUCCUUGAACAGAAAGAAAACAAACUCCUUUGUAAUACAGUAUAAUUCCUCUCUAAUCUGCAGAGCACACAUAGGUUUGGUUAUUGUGGAAAAUCAGCUCAAGAAUUGGGAGUACCAAAGGACCCUGAGAAUGACUGUUGAGCAGAGGGUAGAAAACCAAAACAUUUUUUUUUAAAUCAGGGAACUAAAUUUCUGUUCCAAAAAUCUGUAAUCUUGUAAU
rnacentral:lncRNA from 1 species